GAGUUUGAUCGUGGCUCAGAUUGAACGCUAGCGGGAUGCCUUACACAUGCAAGUCGAACGGCAGCACGGACUUCGGUCUGGUGGCGAGUGGCGAACGGGUGAGUAAUGUAUCGGAACGUGCCUAGUAGCGGGGGGAUAACUACGCGAAAGCGUAGCUAAUACCGCAUACGCCCUACGGGGAAAGGACAGGGAGUCGCAAGACCUUGCACUAUUAGAGCGGCCGGAUAUCGGAUUAGCUAGUUGGUGGGGUAACGGCUCACCAAGGCGACGAUCCGUAGCUGGUUUGAGAGGACGACCAGCCACACUGGGACUGAGACACGGCCCAGACUCCUACGGGAGGCAGCAGUGGGGAAUUUUGGACAAUGGGGAAACCCGUGAUCCAGCCAUCCGCGUGUGCGAUGAAGGCCUCGGUUGUAAG
rnacentral:rRNA from 1 species